rnacentral:rRNA from 1 species
UACGGAGGGUGCAAGCGUUAUCCGGAUUCACUGGGUUUAAAGGGCGCGUAGGUGGGCUAGUAAGUCAGUGGUGAAAUCUCCGGGCUUAACCCGGAAACUGCCAUUGAUACUAUUAGUCUUGAAUGUCGUGGAGGUAAGCGGAAUAUGUCAUGUAGCGGUGAAAUGCUUAGAUAUGACAUAGAACACCGAUAGCGAAGGCAGCUUGCUACACGAGUAUUGACACUGAGGCACGGAAAGCGUGGGGAUCAAACCAGGAGUUAGAAACCCC